rnacentral:rRNA from 1 species
UACGUAGGGGGCAAGCGUUGUCCGGAUUUAUUGGGCGUAAAGAGCGUGUAGGCGGCUUUACAGGUCCGUUGUGAAAACUCGAGGCUCAACCUCGAGACGCCGGUGGAAACCGUAAGGCUAGAGUCCGGAAGAGGAGAGUGGAAUUCCUGGUGUAGCGGUGAAAUGCGCAGAUAUCAGGAAGAACACCCGUGGCGAAGGCGGGUCUCUGGGCAGUAACUGACGCUGAGGUGCGAAAGCGUGGGGAGCAAACAGG